UACGUAGGGCGCAAGCGUUGUCCGGAAUUAUUGGGCGUAAAGAGCUCGUAGGCGGUUUGUCGCGUCUGCUGUGAAAACCUAAGGCUCAACCUUGGGCUGGCAGUGGGUACGGGCAGACUAGAGUGCGGUAGGGGUGACUGGAAUUCCUGGUGUAGCGGUGGAAUGCGCAGAUAUCAGGAGGAACACCGAUGGCGAAGGCAGGUCACUGGGCCGCAACUGACGCUGAGGAGCGAAAGCAUGGGGAGCGAACAGG
rnacentral:rRNA from 1 species